AACAAGGCGUACCUGCGGACCUGCGGAGGGAUCAUUACCGAGUUUACAACUCCCAAACCCAUGUGAACAUACCUAUCGUUGCUUCGGCGGAUCGCCCCGGGCGCCUUGCGUGCCCCGGAUCCAGGCGGCCGCCGGGGGACCUUAACUCUUGUUUUUACUGAGAAUCUUCUGAGUCGUUUUUACAAAUAAAUAAAAACUUUCAACAAUGGAUCU
rnacentral:misc_RNA from 1 species